CGAUGGGUAGGGGUUCUGAGAGGAAGGUCCCCCACAUUGGAACUGAGACACGGUCCAAACUCCUACGGGAGGCAGCAGUGAGGAAUAUUGGUCAAUGGGCGCGAGCCUGAACCAGCCAAGUAGCGUGCAGGAAGACGGCCCUAUGGGUUGUAAACUGCUUUUGCAGGAGGAUAAUAUGUCCCACGUGUGGGAUAUUGCAGGUAUCCUGCGAAUAAGGACCGGCUAAUUCCGUGCCAGCAGCCGCGGUAAUACGGAAGGUCCGGGCGUUAUCCGGAUUUAUUGGGUUUAAAGGGAGCGUAGGCGGGAGAUCAAGUCAGUUGUGAAAAGCAGCCGCUCAACGGUUGUCGUGCAGUUGAUACUGGUUUUCUUGAGUGCGCGCGAGGAUGGUGGAAUUUGUGGUGUAGCGGUGAAAUGCUUAGAUAUCACAAAGAACUCCGAUUGCGAAGGCAGCUGUCCGGAGCGCAACUGACGCUGAGGAUCGAAGGUGCGGGUAUCAAACAGGAUUAGAUACCCUGGUAGUCCGCACGGUAAACGAUGGAUGCUAGUGGUCGGCGACAGACUGUCGGUCACCGAGCGAAAGCGUUAAGCAUCCCACCUGGGGAGUACGCCGGCAACGGUGAAACCCAAAGGAAUUGACGGGGG
rnacentral:rRNA from 1 species